GUAAAGCGCGGGCCCCGAAGGCUCCCUUCGCGCGCCUGCGCAGGGCCCUUUCGCCAUAGAGCGCGCGGAGGACAAGGUGUGUCCCAGCUCCCAGGACAGUGCCUGGCACUUAUUUGUGUUCAGUAAAUCUUUGUUUCGUGUCUGAAGGACAGAAUGAACCAAACAAAAGACCGUAACUGUGGCUGGAACAGAGGAUGUGCAGCAGUCAGACCCCGCAGAGACUGGAGGACAAGGUCACGUGCUCUGGGAGAAGCCCUACGUAGAGGCUCAUAUGGCAAGAAACAGACCUCCCGCCAGCAAACCAGCGAGUCAUCUUGGAAGUGCACCCUCUAGUCCCCUUCAAGCCUUCAAGUCACCGCAGCCCUGGGUAAUGACAUCUGGACUGCAAUCUCGCAAGAGACCCAGAGCAAAAGCCACGCUGCUAAUUGACUCCCAGGCCCCUGAUCCCCAGAAAUUAUGUGAGCUAAUACAUGCUUGUUAUUUUCAGUUUUAGGGGAGUGUGUUACCCAGAAACAAACAGCAAGUAAAAUUUUGAUUUUGAUCCCAAGAGUGGGGCGCUGCCCUAACAAAAAGCCUAAAAUGCAGAGUGGCUUUGGUACUGGGUAGUGGGGCAAGGGCAGGGCCCGGAAGGGCUUUGAAGAGCCUGUCAGAGCCUAGAUUGCCUUGAACAAACUUAAUGGAAACAUGAAGCACAAGGAGCUGGCCAGGGAGGGCUCAAAGGGAGGUGAGGAACACGUGACCAGAAGCCGGAGGAAAGGGGAUUUUUGUUGUGAAGUGACUAAAGUUUAGCACCAGUGUUGUGUGCAGUUCUGUGGAACUCAGAACACAUAACUAGUGAGCCAGGCAAUCCACCUCUGAAAUUGCCAGCCAGAAUGCUGAACAGCUGCCUGAUUUCUUCUUGCCACUCAGAGUAAAGGCAAGAGGAGAAAUCUUUUCUUUUUAAAGAAUUUAUUUAUUCAUGAGACACAGAGAGAGGCAGAGACAUAAGCAGAGGGAGAAGCAGGCUCCUUGGGGGGAGCCCAAUGUGGGACUCGAUCCCAGGACCCAGGAUCAUAACCUGAACUGAAGGCAGGCGCUCAACCACUGAGCCACCCAGGUGCCCUAAGAAGAGAAAUGCUAAACAGAAGGAGCUGGAACUUGAAGGUCUGGAAGCUUCUCAACCUCCCUGUGAAGCAUCAACUUUACCCAAAAUGAGGUGUGGUCUUUGCCCCAGCUCGUUGGGAUUUCCUGAGUGGCCAGAUAUGUCUUUGCUCCUCAGGGUGAGCCCCUGGGGCCAUAUCUGAUACUGUGCCAACAAGAUGACUCAAGCUGGGGGCUGAUCAUGCCCGAAUGGCCAACCGUGUGAUAAGAGGGUUGGGGCCACGUGAGAUCAGACUGACCUCCAGGGGAAGCAUGUGUAUCAGGGAGGUAAGAUGAAGAUUAAGGUUAACUACACGGUGAAUAAUCCAGUCAUGCCUACAUAAUGACACUUCAGUGAACACUGGACACCUGGGGCACCUGGCUGGCUCAAUUGGUUGUAUCCAACUCUUAGUUUCAGCUCAGGUCAUGAUCUCACGGUCCUGGGAUCGAAUUCCAUGUCAGACUCCGUGUUCAGCAGGAGUCUGUUUGGAUAUUCUCUACCUCUGCCCCCUCCCCCUAUUUAUGCAUGUGCGCUCUCUCUCUCUCUCUCUCUCUCUCAAAUAAAUAAUAAAUUAAUCAUUAAAAAAAACAAAAUUCUGGACAUCACAGCUUGAGUGAGCUUCCUGGUGUGGUGAUACACCAUGUAUGCUCCCAGGAGCGUGAUAUGUCUCUGGGGUCAUGAAAGCUUUGCAUGUGGGACCCUCCUGGUCCCAGAUUCCAUCCUAUGCACCUCUUCCUUUGGCUAUAAUAUUCUUUUGCUAUAAUAAAACUAUUAUCAUAAGUCCAGUGCUGUCCUAAGUUCUAGAGCUACUUUUUUUUUUAAGAUUUUAUUUAUUCAUGAGAGAGAAAGAGGGGGCAGAGACAUAGGCAGAGGCAGAAGCAGGCUCACCGUGGGGAGCCCAAUGUGGGACUCGAUCCCAGGACCCCGGGAUCACACCCUGAGCCAAAGGCAGAUGCUCAGCCACUGAGCCACCCAGGGGUGUCUCUCUAGAGCUACUUCUAGCAAUUAUUGAAACUGAGGGACUCAGUGGGAAUCUCUGAAUUUGUAGGCAGCUAAUCUGAAGUGAGGAUGGCCCUGGGGCCUCCCAAGCUUGUAGCUGAUGUCAGGACUCUUGGAUAGACUUGGCAGACCAGAGGACUGCAGCCUUCACCUUGUGUUUGCCCAGAUGGCAAAGGAUGCUAAACCUGAGCCAAAAAGAGCACUCUUGGGAAGGCAUGGUCUAAAGAUGAAGCCCAAGGUGUGACUAUAAAAUUCUUGGUGAUGGCUUUGGAAAGAUCAAAGGUCAGACAACGGCACUCUAAAGUUUAAGGAUGUGUCUUCUCAAUCAGACAACAGGGCUUCCAUUAAACUUCCAGACACUGUCACUCAGCAUCUCAGUAAAAGCCCCAAGGUAGGGGCUUAUCUCAAAGAGAUCAUGGGCAUGACUUUGUGUAAUGGAGUGAACUCCAAAGAGAUUCACAUAAGACCCACACAUUUUUUUUUUUUU